CACCAUGUUGGCCAGGCUGGUCUCAAACUCCUGACCUCAGGUGGUCCACCCACCACAGCCUCCCAAAGUGCUGGGAUUACAGGUGUGAGCCAUCACGCCCGGCCAGUUUUACACUUUGGAAAGAUAGGUAUUAAGGGCAAAUUAGUAAGGAGCAUAGUGCUAACUAAUGAUCAUGUUAGUAGUGGGCGGCAAAAGCUAAACAUAAUCAAAACUGAUCUUGUUCAUUGAUGUUUAGGUUUAAAUACUACAUUUAUAGUUUCAAAAAUACUUUUAUUGCUGAAAUGACUACAGAAAAAAGAACUCUUGUCAAUCUAAAACUAUUAUUUGAAUAUUCACUUUAGGCCACACAGUAACAGAAGAAAAUGCAAAGAAGAAAGAUGUGACUAUUAUUGUGGAAUAUUCUUAUAUGAAAGCAGAAAAUGCUGUAACAUCUGAGUUAGUAAAAACAUCAUCACUUUCAACAGCAACCCCCAAAUCAGGGUAACGAGAAAGUAUUUUCAGCAUGAUAAAAGGACAAGUUUAUAUGGUAUAACAUGCUCCCUAAUACUCUGAAUUGCAAAGUCAUUGCAAAAUGAAAGAAAGUUUUCUUACAUCUGGAAUAUUUGUCAUCAAUAAAUAUUGGAUAAGGAAAUUAAUGCUUUGUGUGUUUUAAGAUUCUAUUUCAAGAAUGAUUAUUUCAGUAUUAAGUAUUUGUAGAAUUGUCUUUCAAAACUUAAAAAGUUUUUUUUUUGACAUUUGUUUUGUGCUAGUGUGCCCUUCUUUUAAUGUUUUCCAAGAUGAAAUGGCUAUAUUAAAUAGAAAUGAUUUCACAAUAAUGUUAUCAUGUAAUAUAAUCAUGUAUUUAUGUUCUAUCUUUUAAAACAAAAAAACUCCUAAAACUUAUAGUACCACCAUAUUACAGAAAAAUGAUUCAUUCUUUGUUAUAUCACUCAUUAUGUUUAAAAUGCAAACUUAUUAAAAAUACAGAGUAAUUUAUGUUUUAGGGCAGGUGUAUUCAAUCUUUUGGUUUUCCUGGGCAUAUCAUAUGGGAAGAAGAAGAAUUGUAUUGGGCCACAAAUAAAAUACGCUAGCAUUAACGAUAGCUGAUGAGCUCGAAAAUAAAAAAUUGUGAAAGAAGUUAUAAUAUUUUAAAGUUUAUGAAUUUGUGUUAGUCUACAUUCAAAGCUGUCCUCGGCCACAUGUGGCCUUUGGCCGAGGAUUGGACAACCUUGAUUUAGAGAAUUCUCAGGAAUUCUAGUUUCUUGUUCCUGAAUCUUGAGGUUAAUCUGUUGAGUUUU